GAUGAACGCUGGCGGCGUGCUUAACACAUGCAAGUCGAACGGGAAACUUUUCAUUGAAGCUUCGGCAGAUUUGGUCUGUUUCUAGUGGCGGACGGGCGAGUAACGCGUGGGUAACCUGCCUUAUACAGGGGGAUAACAACCAGAAAUGGUUGCUAAUACCGCAUAAGCGCACAGGACCGCAUGGUCCGGUGUGAAAAACUCCGGUGGUAUAAGAUGGACCCGCGUUGGAUUAGCUAGUUGGCAGGGUAACGGCCUACCAAGGCGACGAUCCAUAGCCGGCCUGAGAGGGUGAACGGCCACAUUGGGACUGAGACACGGCCCAGACUCCUACGGGAGGCAGCAGUGGGGAAUAUUGCACAAUGGGGGAAACCCUGAUGCAGCGACGCCGCGUGAAGGAAGAAGUAUCUCGGUAUGUAAACUUCUAUCAGCAGGGAAGAUAGUGACGGUACCUGACUAAGAAGCCCCGGCUAACUA
rnacentral:rRNA from 1 species